rnacentral:rRNA from 1 species
CCUACGGGGGGCAGCAGUGGGGAAUAUUGGACAAUGGGCGAAAGCCUGAUCCAGCAAUGCCGCGUGAGUGAAGAAGGCCUUCGGGUUGUAAAGCUCUUUUACCCGGGAAGAUAAUGACUGUACCGGGAGAAUAAGCUCCGGCUAACUCCGUGCCAGCAGCCGCGGUAAUACGGAGGGAGCUAGCGUUGUUCGGAAUUACUGGGCGUAAAGCGUACGUAGGCGGCUUGGUAAGUCAGAGGUGAAAGCCCACGACUCAAUCGUGGAACUGCCUUUGAGACUGCUUCGCUUGAAGAUGGGAGAGGUUAGUGGAAUUCCGAGUGUAGAGGUGAAACUCGUAGAUAUUCGGAAGAACACCAGUGGCGAAGGCGGCUAACUGGACCAUUCUUGACGCUGAGGUACGAAAGCGUGGGGAGCAAACAGGAUUAGAUACCCUGGUAGUCCACGCCGUAAACGAUGAUAACUAGCUGUCGGGGCUCUUGGAGCUUCGGUGGCGCAGCUAACGCAUUAAGUUAUCCGCCUGGGGAGUACGGCCGCAAGGUAAAACUCAAAUGAAUUGACGGNUGAAGACGUGCGAGACGACACGAGGAGAGG